GCGAAAGGGCGAGGAAUACAUGGGUAACGUGCCUCGAGCACGAGGACAGCCGGGGGAAACUCCGGUUAAUACUCGAUAAGACCACAGCACCGCAGGGUGCAGGGGUCAAAGGGUGGGGACCUUCGGGCCUGCCGGCUCGAGAGCGGCCCAUGUCCUAUCAGCUUGUUGGUGGGGUAACGGCCUACCAAGGCUACGACGGGUACCGGGACUGAGAGGUUGACCCGGCGCAUCGGGACUGAGACACUGCCCGGACUCCUACGGGAGGCUGCAGUAACGAAUAUUGGGCAAUGGGCGAAAGCCUGACCCAGCGACGCCGCGUGUGGGAAGAAUGCCUUCGGGUUGUAAACCACUGUCAGGGAUUACCAACCAACCGGUGUGAAUAGCGCCGGGAGUUGAGGAGUCCCAGAGGAAGUCACGGCUAACUUCGUGCCAGCAGCCGCGGUAAUACGAAGGUGGCUAGCGUUGUUCGGAAUCACUGGGCUUAAAGAGCACGUAGGCGGAUGAUCAAGCGUCUUGUGAAAGCCCUCGGCUCAACCGGGGAAUUGCUUGGCGAACCGAUCAUCUUGAGGCAGGUAGGGGCGAGUGAAACUCUUGGUGGAGCGGUGGAAUGCUUAGAUAUCAAGAGGAACGCCAGAGGCGAAGGCGACUCGCUGGGCCUGACCUGACGCUGAGGUGCGAAAGCCAGGGGAGCGAACGGGAUUAGAUACCCCGGUAGUCCUGGCCCUAAACGAUGUCCACUAGGUCGGUGAGGUUCUAAUGCUUUGCUGGCCGAAACAAAAGCGUUAAGUGGACCGCCUGGGGAGUACGGUCGCAAGGCUAAAACUCAAAGGAAUUGACGGGGGCUCACACAAGCGGUGGAGCAUGUUGCUUAAUUCGAUGCAACGCGAAGAACCUUAUCCUGGGCUUGACAUACACGGAUGCCCUCCUGGAAACAGGUCGGGUUGCCCUUCGGGGUGAAACGUACACAGGUGCUGCAUGGCUGUCGUCAGCUCGUGUCGUGAGAUGUUGGGUUAAGUCCCGUAACGAGCGCAACCCUUGUCGAUAGUUGCCAGUGGGAAUGGUGGGACUCUAGCGAGACUGCCGGUGUUAAACCGGAGGAAGGUGGGGAUGACGUCAAGUCCUCAUGUCCUUUAUGCCCAGGGCUGCAAACGUGUUACAAUGG
rnacentral:rRNA from 1 species